rnacentral:rRNA from 1 species
AGAGUUUGAUCAUGGCUCAGGAUGAACGCUAGCGGCAGGCUUAACACAUGCAAGUCGAGGGGUAACAGGGAAGCUUGCUUCCGCUGACGACCGGCGCACGGGUGCGUAACGCGUAUAGAACCUACCUUUUACAGAGGGAUAGCCUUUAGAAAUGAAGAUUAAUACCUCAUAGUAUUGAGACUUGGCAUCAAGACUUAAUUAAAGAUUUAUCGGUAAAAGAUGGCUAUGCGUCCUAUUAGCUAGAUGGUAAGGUAACGGCUUACCAUGGCAACGAUAGGUAGGGGUCCUGAGAGGGAGAUCCCCCACACUGGUACUGAGACACGGACCAGACUCCUACGGGAGGCAGCAGUGAGGAAUAUUGGGCAAUGGAGGCAACUCUGACCCAGCCAUGCCGCGUGCAGGAAGACGGCCCUAUGGGUUGUAAACUGCUUUUAUACAGGAAGAAACACUCGUACGUGUACGAGCUUGACGGUACUGUAAGAAUAAGCACCGGCUAACUCCGUGCCAGCAGC